AGAAGAUUGCGAUUGUGUGCAGUGCUGCACAUUAUUGCUAAUAUUAUUAAAAAUGAAGUUAAGUUUUAAGAAAAUAUCAAACGAUUCGUUUUACAAAACGUCAACAUGUCGCUAGGAGACGUUCAUGGCCUGAGGACUGGCUGAAGAAGAGAUUACUGGCUGCGAGAACAUUGUUUGAAGCUCCAGUUUGUACUUGAAGUGACCUGAAUGUCUCUUUUAACACCUUGGGGAAGAACAGAACAAGAAAAAAACUGAUUAACCAUCAUUUUCUGUUUGGGGCAUUAGAGACCUCGAGUAGACUACAACAGUUGUGUGUGGGAGGUGCAGAAAGCAUUAAAUCUAUCAGGGAAUGGAGUACAGCUGCACCUGCUUUCUCUUGGUUUUACUGGCUGUUCUAAAACCUAAAACUCCCACUUUCUCUCUGACAUUUCGACUUCAUUCACAAAACAUUUAGAAAACUCUCAGCAUUGUUUCACCCACACUCCCAACAUCUGUUGCAUGGGAUUUUUCUGGAAAGUCUCUGUUGUGAUUGACAGCGCUAUUUCCUCAAUCGCAGAAGCAUCCCCGAAAGAUGCUGUCUUAGUGCACAGACCUGUGGGCUAAAGUAUUGACAGAAUCAUCCAAUUGUUGCAGGUCAUCAAUCAGGCUUUGUCAGCAUUUUUAAAUUAUUUGCUAAAACGUGAUUCAACUCUCAGCAAGAAACAUUUUGGAAUAUCAUUUUUAAAACAUUGUUUGUUUGAAGGUUUUCCUCCUUGAAAAUAUUAGCUUGUUGAAUAGUUUUUUGUUUGGUUUAACCCAUUCUGUCAUGUUGGGGAUCAAGGCAACUUUGACAUCUUCUAAAAUUUAUAUUUAAACCUUUGAACAGCAGAACAAUACAGCAAUACAGACACGGCAGAAAAUACAUAUAUUUGAAAAUACAUAUUUUAUGUUUUCAGUUCAUUCUGUAU